GACGAACGCUGGCGGCGUGCCUAACACAUGCAAGUCGAACGGAGAUAUGUACAUGAAGUUUUCGGAUGGAUUGUAUAUAUCUUAGUGGCGGACGGGCGAGUAACGCGUGAGCAACCUGCCCUUCAGAGGGGGAUAACGGCUGGAAACGGCCGCUAAUACCGCAUGACAUAUACGGUAGGCAUCUACUGAAUAUCAAAGGAGGAAUCCGCUGAAGGAUGGGCUCGCGUCCGAUUAGCUAGUUGGUGAGGUAACGGCUCACCAAGGCGACGAUCGGUAGCCGAACUGAGAGGUUGAUCGGCCGCAUUGGGACUGAGACACGGCCCAGACUCCUACGGGAGGCAGCAGUGGGGGAUAUUGCACAAUGGAGGAAACUCUGAUGCAGCGACGCCGCGUGAGGGAAGAAGGUCUUCGGAUUGGUAAACCUUAGUAGUCAGGGACGAAUAAAUGACGGUACCUGAAGAGUAAGCUCCGGCUAACUACGUGCCAGCACGG
rnacentral:rRNA from 1 species